UACAGAGGGUGCAAGCGUUGUUCGGAAUUAUUGGGCGUAAAGCGCGUGUAGGCGGCUUGUUAAGUCGGGUGUGAAAGCCCUCAGCUCAACUGAGGAAGUGCGCCCGAAACUGGCGAGCUUGAGUGUCGGAGAGGAUGGCGGAAUACCCCAAGUAGAGGUGAAAUUCGUAGAUAUGGGGUGGAACACCGGUGGCGAAGGCGGCCAUCUGGACGACAACUGACGCUGAGACGCGAAAGCGUGGGGAGCAAACAGG
rnacentral:rRNA from 1 species